AAGACUAAACUUUCAGGGAUCAUUUCUAUAGUUUGUUACUAUAUGGAUGGCUAGUGGACUGCUGGGGUUUCUACAAACAGAGAGCCCCGAGGUCAACCCACCCCCAGCGGGAGGACCGUCCUCCAUGCGACAGUGCAGGGCAGGCUCUGGGCGGGGAGCGUUCCUCUGU
ensembl:snoRNA U3 Small nucleolar RNA U3